UCCCCUUCCUGUUUGGGUGGCGCUCGGCGGUCGUCGCCACCGGCCUACUAGCUGCCACUGAUCUUUUUCUCCCCCUACUUGUCUGUUUAUUAGUUCCACCUGUGUUUAGUUAGGUUAACUAGUUGGGCUUUAUUAUCCAGCCGGCCCGCCUGCUGGGUGUGCGAGAUUGUUUUAUGUGUACACGCCUGUAAGUCACGUUGUUCGUGUGUUGUUCGGGACUGUUUAGUUCCCCUGUGUUUUAGGGCAUUUGUUUGAGUGGCGUCGUGUUCACCUGCGUGGUGAAUAAAGAAGUAUCGCUACUCUGUUCCCUGCGUCUGACUUCUUCCUCCACUACACCCCAGGCAUUACACAACUUAAGCAGAAGUCCAGGGAAAUGAGCUUGCGCAAAGAGCUGGAUGCGGCACGGGUGGCAUUUGAGGAGGCUCUUCCAGAAAGCUAUCGCACAGCAUUACAAUUUCAACAUGUAGAUGUAAGUGAUAUUUCUUCCCAUUUCCCCAGUAUAUUUUCAGGACAGUUGAAUUGUGGGUACAUACCACAAUGUUGUUGUGUUGUAAUUUUAUUCACAGACGGAUUCCCAUACUAUGUUUGUUUUGAAUAAAUCCUUUAUGAUCAGAAGGAGCGAGCUGCAAAGUGACAGUCACCUGAUCCUGCCACUAGCCUUGCCCCUGUCCAAUGGAUAGAGAGGGACAACAGAUGCAACAUAAUUCACCUGCUCCUGCCACUAGCCUUGCUAUUGUUAUGUACAGAUGUUUGUUAAUUAUUUAUUUAUUUUUAUUUCACCUUUAUUUAAUUCUUAUUCUUAUCUUACUUUUUUUUAAAGCAUUUUCUUAAAACUGAAUUGUUAAGGACUUGUAAGUAAGCAUUUCAAUGUAAGGUGGCAAAUACAAUUUGAUUUGAUUCAAGUUAAGAAAAAUGUGAAUCGCCUGGAGGGGCCGAGGAGAGGUUGGGGAAACCCUGUCCUAAUGAAACCAGAUGCCAGGAGUCAGUCUGAACAGACACGACUCCCUCAGUUCAGAAAACACAAUCUGUGCUUCUCGACCAGAAAUCCCUCACGCCUGAACAGGACAAGCUUCUGACCCUCAUACACUAUCCAGCUCCUGCUCGUCAAAGUAGCUAAAUGGUAGGAGGGUGUUUUGACCUGAGAUAGGCUUGACGCCAGGUCACAUGACCCUAAGGAAAUCACCCUACACACAGCAACCCCCAGAGAGUAAGUGCCUCACCAAGGCUAGUCAUUCAACUGGUCAGGCAGAAUGACUAACUUGUUAGAACAUUUCUAAAUAGUACUAAAUGCAGUUGUAAUAUAAUGACCAUUUGUAGCUGGCUCACUGGCUUUCACUUCAAUGUGGGUUUAAAUACAAUGUGGUGCUAUAAAAGUUUCAGAUCCUCAGAUUGGCUGUAACCUAAUCCUCUGUCUGAUUGGCUGUAACCUAAUCCUCUGUCUGAUUGGCUGUAACCUAAUCUUCUGUCUGAUUGAAUGUAACCUAAUCCUCUGUCUGAUUGGCUGUAACCUAAUCCUCUGUCUGAUUGGCUGUAACCUACUCCUCUGUCUGAUUGAAUAUAACCUAAUCCGCUGUCUGAUUGGCUGUAACCUAAUCCUCUGUCUGAUUGGCUGUAACCUAAUCCUCUGUCUGAUUGGCUGUAACCUAAUCCUCUGUCUGAUUGGCUGUAACCUAAUCCUCUGUCUGAUUGGCUGUAACCUAAUCCUCUGUCUGAUUGGCUGUAACCUACUCCUCUGUCUGAUUGGCUGUAACCUAAUCCUCUUUCUGAUUGGCUGUAACCUAAUCCUCUUUCUGAUUGGCUGUAACCUAAUCCUCUGUCUGAUUGAAUAUAACCUAAUCCUCUGUCUGAUUGGCUGUAACCUAAUCCUCUGUCUGAUUGAAUAUAACCUAAUCCUCUGUCUGAUUGGCUGUAACCUAAUCCUCUGUCUGAUUGGCUGUAACCUAAUCCUCUGUCUGAUUGGCUUUAACCGGGACCUCUUCAAGUCCUUUGAAGUCAUGAAGGUGUUGUUUCCAGGAUGCUCCCGUCAUUUGUGGGAAUGCUUGACGGAAGAACAAAGCACUUUGGCAGGAGUGGAAAGAUAUGUGGCGCCACAUUCCAGAAGGCAUUCCACGAGUGAACGUAUGGGCUGUUUGAAAUAGACACUCUUUGUGAAAGCGUUCACCUCCAUGGUCCUGCCUGCUCACAGGAGAUGCAUGCUGUCAGUUGGAUGGGACUUGCAAUCAAUACCACUUCCGGAAAGCCUCAGGCAAUCAGCCUGGUGCCGGCACCACAACCGGGGGAGAUGUCCAUCAGGUGAAUAGUUUUAUAUCCAGAGCUGCUGUCACGACAAAGUGCAUGUCCAAGGCUGUGCAUUAUGAUAAGUAAUCCUGAAGAAGGUUGAGGAUUACAACAUAAUUCCCUUAAUAAGCUGACAGUGAAGGACAUUUCCUUUUGAGUGUAACUGAUGAUGCUACAAUAAUGUUCGUAUGGACAGACAUUCACACCACUGGCAGUGGGCUGGAAUAAGAGGAAGUUCACCAACAUGGAUUGUAUGUUGGCAAAAAGAUAUGUGAAGAACGUCAGAAGACUGAAGGAGGAGACCAGCCUCCUUGAAGCAAAGCAGAGUUGGACAUCAAUGACACUGUGCUUCAGGAGUGGCCUGAAGACGACAACAAGAGGAGGCAUCAGAUGACGAGAGAACUGGAUGAGAACAAGCAGCCUUGACAGCUGCCAUCGUUCAACUUCACGAGCAGCAGACAGAGUUUAGGCUCCCAACAGUGGAGGAGCUGCUCAAUACUGACAACUUUGUGUGGCCUCGAGAGAGAGACUUGGCACCAGUAAGAAACAUGAUUGCAGAAGACUGAUGGUGAACAGACUGCAGGAGGAAGAGAAGGUCCUGGUGCAGGAGAGGAGGCACUAGGGGAGCGUACAAAGAGCAGUAGGAUCCCUGGAGGCACUGUCCCUACAGCUGCAAGAUCAGAGGAAGUUGAGGCAGUGGGCACAAAACCAAGUCAACAGCAGGAACAGCUAUCACAAGCUGAUUCUGGGAGAAGGGGAUAUUUCUGACGACUGAUGAAGAUGAGAACUCAGAUGAAGAUAGAUGUCCUAUUGCUGAGAGCUCAGACGAUGCCUGCUAUGUUUUCUGAAAUCAUACACCUCCCCUGCCUCUUUCUCUCGGUCUCUCUCCCGCAGAAGAGGGAGAAGGUCACCACCACCUCCCUUUUGAGAAGCCUGGUCUCCUGAUGUUAACCCCCUAACCCCUCACCUUCUGAACUCAUCCAGGUCAAUGUAAUUUGCCUGAUGACUCGCUAGUGGAGAAGGAACGUGUCAUUUGAGCGCAUUUGUUCCCAUGCUUCCUCUCCUCUGUUUCUUCCGGUCCUAGACUACGGCGACAUCAUCAGCAACUCAGACAGUUUGUUGCGGACCUCUUUACUAAGGAAUGUGGUUGGUUUAUUUUCUUGGAGUAUUUACUAUGCUGCUGUGACUUAGAUGUUUGCAAAAUAAUCCUUGGUCUCAAUGAGACUGCUAAAAUAAAUAAAUAAAGAUCUUAAUAAAUAAA